rnacentral:lncRNA from 1 species
GCAGUUUGUAUUUACUGAUUCUGGGCCUCAGAUCUAGAUACAACUGGUAGGAAGGAGGCCAAGGGAGAAGGAAGAGGUCUGCCUUCCAUUCUUAAGCCUUCUCUGAUAGGUUUGGAAACCUAAAAUUUUGCCUCCGUUGAAGUGAGGGAUCGGAGGACUGGUGGUUCCUAUUUGACCGGGGAGAGCAAAUGAUGAAGUGUACCAUUGCCUUUGACUGACCCAAAUCAGUGGCAAUGGCUGAAGUGUAAGAUAACACGAUCCUGUGGCUCCAGAGUUAUUUUACUCAUUAAAUUUACGAUGCGAUUUCCUGUCGUCUUUAGAAGAUAAUUAUCAUCAAUAUAAAUAUUUUUUUUCCUCAAAGAGGAAGAAAGUGCUCUGUUCAUGCUAUCGUUGAUGUAAGCUUUGUUAAUUCCUUGUUAUUGAAACUACGUUCUAGGACUAUUUCUGUCACAUAGUCACUCCGUCAACAUAGUUAUUCAUGUCCAUAUAGUCACUCCAUCAACAUCAUCAGGCGUCCUAUUCUCUCUCAAAUUUUAUUUUGAUCAGGUACUCGGUGGCCGAGUUUCAGGUCUAUGAUCUUCUUAUGAUGGGGAAAGGGGAGUUUGCAGCAGAGGGAUGCGAUUCUGAUGAUGGAAAAUGGACAACUCCAUCAACAAUUAUCGAUGUCAUUGGAAGGCUGUCACCGGCGAUGGUAGUCAGCAAGUUGCAGUGUUCAUCACUCUGCUUCCCUGGAGACCCAUCCGAAGGUUUGUCCAACUCAAUUGAAAUUACCUAUUGAGGUAUAGAAUCUGCGUAGCACAGAAUAAUGAUGACAUGGGGUCUAUUGAGAGUUAGCAAACCCUUAUCGUCAUAAACCACGAAAAAGUAGUGAGAGACAGUAAUGGAAGGAACACCUAGGAUUCAAAGUGGUUUACUCCACUGCAAGAGAUAUGUCUACUCACUGUUAUGAACUUGACAUCAAUCAUAAUUGGCUUCCACAUGGCAAGAUCAAUCAUAUAUCUAGGGUUCUCAAGCAUGUGAAGGUCUACGAUUUUUCUUUUGCAUGCUUCAACCACUAUGUGUAAGUUUCAUUGCAUUUGAUUUAUUAUUUAACGAGUUUGAUCUCACUGUUCUAGGACUCAUCAUUCUAAUUAUGCAAGGUUCAUCUUCAUCAAGAAAAAAUCCAAUCUCACAUAGUCUUCUUUACUAAGGCUACUUUUGAAUCAGGUUUCUCACUUAGAGUGCAGCUAUGGAGAGGUAUGGAAAGCCUGUAACGGCAGCCGUGCGCAGAGCUCGAGAGGCAACUGGAAGGGAGAAAGGGGGGAGAACUUCGGUAUGUUCUAUGGGCCAACGUGAUGUUGAAUGUGACUCCAGACUUAUGACUCAAACCCUAGUACUGGGCCAGGCCAGUAAUCAUGGCAUUGCACUUGACAUCCACUUCUUGCUAACGUGUGCACGUUGACUAUAAUAUUAUGUAGAUGAGGGAGAUUCCCAAAUUGGACGGACCGUUGACUCUAAAACCUUGAGAAUAUUUUUGACUGACAAAAUCGCCAUUUUAAAAGUUAUUCAACAGUUAAAAUAUUUUUAAAAGCAUUGAUUGAUGUUCAUAGGAAUAUACCAUAACAAUCGAUCAAAAUUAGUCAAACUUGGCCAAUGAUAAUAUCUAGAGACAUAAUUUGGUAGCAGCCUUGAUUCCCAUAGGAAAAAAGGUUAGUUUGGUUCAAGAGAUGCAAGUAUACAAGAGAACACGCAGAAGGGGCCAUGAUUUAGAGGGGACCCCUAACUUUCUUCA